UGAACGCUGGCGGCAGGCCUAACACAUGCAAGUCGAACGGUAACAGGAAGCAGCUUGCUGCUUCGCUGACGAGUGGCGGACGGGUGAGUAAUGUCUGGGAAACUGCCUGAUGGAGGGGGAUAACUACUGGAAACGGUAGCUAAUACCGCAUAAUGUCGCAAGACCAAAGAGGGGGACCUUCGGGCCUCUUGCCAUCGGAUGUGCCCAGAUGGGAUUAGCUAGUAGGUGGGGUAACGGCUCACCUAGGCGACGAUCCCUAGCUGGUCUGAGAGGAUGACCAGCCACACUGGAACUGAGACACGGUCCAGACUCCUACGGGAGGCAGCAGUGGGGAAUAUUGCACAAUGGGCGCAAGCCUGAUGCAGCCAUGCCGCGUGUAUGAAGAAGGCCUUCGGGUUGUAAAGUACUUUCAGCGGGGAGGAAGGUGUUGAGGUUAAUAACCUCAGCAAUUGACGUUACCCGCAGAAGAAGCACCGGCUAACUCCGUGCCAGCAGCCGCGGUAAUACGGAGGGUGCAAGCGUUAAUCGGAAUUACUGGGCGUAAAGCGCACGCAGGCGGUCUGUCAAGUCGGAUGUGAAAUCCCCGGGCUCACCCUGGGAACUGCAUUCGAAACUGGCAGGCUAGAGUCUUGUAGAGGGGGGUAGAAUUCCAGGUGUAGCGGUGAAAUGCGUAGAGAUCUGGAGGAAAUACCGGUGGCGAAGGCGGCCCCCUGGACAAAGACUGACGCUCAGGUGCGAAAGCGUGGGGGAGCAAACAGGAUUAGAUACCCUGGUAGUCCACGCCGUAAAACGAUGUCGACUUGGAGGUUGUGCCCUUGAGGCGUGGCUUCCGGAGCUAACGCGUUAAGUCGACCGCCUGGGGAGUACGGCCGCAAGGUUAAAACUCAAAUGAAUUGACGGGGGCCCGCACAAGCGGUGGAGCAUGUGGUUUAAUUCGAUGCAACGCGAAGAACCUUACCUACUCUUGACAUCCAGAGAACUUUCCAGAGAUGGAUUGGUGCCUUCGGGAACUCUGAGACAGGUGCUGCAUGGCUGUCGUCAGCUCGUGUUGUGAAAUGUUGGGUUAAGUCCCGCAACGAGCGCAACCCUUAUCCUUUGUUGCCAGCGGUUAGGCCGGGAACUCAAAGGAGACUGCCAGUGAUAAACUGGAGGAAGGUGGGGAUGACGUCAAGUCAUCAUGGCCCUUACGAGUAGGGCUACACACGUGCUACAAUGGCGCAUACAAAGAGAAGCGACCUCGCGAGAGCAAGCGGACCUCAUAAAGUGCGUCGUAGUCCGGAUUAGAGUCUGCAACUCGACUCCAUGAAGUCGGAAUCGCUAGUAAUCGUGGAUCAGAAUGCCACGGUGAAUACGUUCCCGGGCCUUGUACACACC
rnacentral:rRNA from 1 species